rnacentral:rRNA from 1 species
AACGAACGCUGGCGGCAUGCCUAACACAUGCAAGUCGAACGAGACCUUCGGGUCUAGUGGCGCACGGGUGCGUAACGCGUGGGAACCUGCCCUUAGGUUCGGAAUAACUCCCCGAAAGGGGUGCUAAUACCGGAUAAUGUCUUCGGACCAAAGAUUUAUCGCCUUUGGAUGGGCCCGCGUUGGAUUAGCUAGUUGGUAGGGUAAAAGCCUACCAAGGCGACGAUCCAUAGCUGGUCUGAGAGGAGGAUCAGCCACACUGGGACUGAGACACGGCCCAGACUCCUACGGGAGGCAGCAGUGGGGAAUAUUGGACAAGGGGCGAAAGCCUGAUCCAGCAAUGCCGCGUGAGUGAUGAAGGCCUUAGGGUUGUAAAGCUCUUUUACCCGGGAUGAUAAGGACAGUACCGGGAGAAUAAGCUCCGGCUAACUCCGU